rnacentral:tRNA from 1 species
GGGCCUGUGGCGCAGAUCCAUCGUGCUUUGAGCUCUAUGAGCCAGCUGUAGGUCGUGGGUUCAAAUCCCACCAGGCCCGCCA